CAGGGAAGUUUCCGGAGGCAGACAGAGGAAACAGUCUGUUUGCGAUGAACAGUCUGUUCAGAAAGUUUAGUGAAUGGGCUGUGUUUGUUCCUACUGCAGAAGUGUUGAUUUCACCAGAGCUGAAUGGAGGAACUUGCACUUAUGGAUGGUUAAUAACAUGACUGAGUGCAAUGCUCCGCUAGACACAAAAAAUGCUUCUUUGGGGGUGGAGGGGUAGCUCCUCAGGACGCCAAACGUUGGACUGCUGAGUCUCUAGGGGAGGCACUAUUCCAGGAUCCCUGUUCUGACCAACGCGUAGCACCCCAUUCUGCUCAGUGCCCGGACACGCUAGCUGCAGUUUGAGUGCAGCAGUGCUCUCAACUGGAUUUUCCACACCGUAAUGACAAGAGGAGAGAUCUGUGAGGCUAGGACAGCUUCCAUAGGCACUGUGUGGCUGCGUGAAAUCUCACCCUGGCUUUGGCUUUGUGUGAUGUAUGAGGGUCUGGUGGAAUUCUCUGCUGACUCCAGGCUGUGCUAAGGUAUAAAAUGCUGCACAAGAGCUGGGUCUCAUCGCACACCGCUGUCUGACCCAGCUCGGAGCAGAUCCUGGGGAGAACGGCAGGCAGCACAUUGCUCCGUGGAGCUGGCAGAGCUGCUGCUUCAGCUGAGCGCCGUGCCACAGCUCGUGUCUGCGGCUCUCCCACUCAGAGGGAGUCCUGCCGGGAUGUGCAGCAGCUUGACUCAGAGCUUCCCUCUCGCUCCUUGGGAACGGCCUGAGCGCGGCCUCCCUCCGGCGAGCUGACUCACCAGGCGCAGCACACAGUGGUCCGGCCAGCCCCGAUCGAUGAGCAAUACAACACCGGCGCUGGCCAGGGACGUGGAGCCUCAGCAGGGCUGUGAAAUGGUCACUGCCCGAAUUUGGGACUCCAUAUCCAGCUCCUCUUUGUGGGUUGCAGGCACCGAAGAGAAGUGCGAGAGGGCAGUGGUAGUCAGAGCAUACGAAACUGGCUUAACUUCCGUUCUCCCACACCCUGAAAUCCCACCUGCCUCCCCCAAUAUUACAGUGACAGAGAGCCAGACCAAACACACCUUUCUUGGAGCUGAUCUCUAUUUCAAACAAGGCUGCUCCUGUAGGGAUAAAACGUGAGCACUGACAUGGGGUAGUAAACAAGUCCCUAGAAAUUUCUGCCACCCAGCUUACUUCCUUCCCCUCUUAAAUACCUUGCGACAAAUAUUACUACAGUAGCUCCAGCCCCAUACAGUCAUGGGAAUAGUUCAUGCAAAAAAAAAAAAAAAAGAAA